UGGGAUUUAGCUCAGCGGCAUAAGCGCCUGCCUUGCAAGCAGGCAGUCGUGAGUUCAAUCCCUG
rfam:Cavia porcellus supercont2_14 genomic scaffold, whole genome shotgun sequence.